rnacentral:rRNA from 1 species
GACGCUGGCGGCACGCUUAACACAUGCAAGUCGAACGAGAUCUUCGGAUCUAGUGGCAGACGGGUGAGUAACGCGUGGGAACCUGCCCAGUAGUAGAGAAUAACUUGGGGAAACUUAAGCUAAUACUUUAUACGUCCUUCGGGAGAAAGCUUUAUGCGCUAUUGGAUGGGCCCGCGUUAGAUUAGUUUGUUGGUGAGGUAACGGCUCACCAAGGCGACGAUCUAUAGCUGGUCUGAGAGGAUGAUCAGCCACACUGGGACUGAGACACGGCCCAGACUCCUACGGGAGGCAGCAGUGGGGAAUAUUGGACAAUGGGGGCAACCCUGAUCCAGCGAUGCCGCGUGAGUGAUGAAGGCCUUAGGGUUGUAAAACUCUUUCGUCAGGGAAGAUAAUGACGGUACCUGAAGAAGAAGAUCCGGCUAACUCCGUGCCAGCAGCCGCGGUAAUACGGAGGGGUCUAGCGUUAUUCGGAAUUACUGGGCGUAAAGCGAGCGUAGGCGGAUUUGUAAGUUGGAGGUGAAAUCCCAGAGCUUAACUCUGGAACUGCCUUCAAAACUACAUUUCUUGAGUUUGGUAGAGGAGAGUGGAAUUCCUAGUGUAGAGGUGAAAUUCGUAGAUAUUAGGAGGAACACCAGUGGCGAAGGCGACUCUCUGGGCCAAUACUGACGCUGAGGUUCGAAAGCAUGGGUAGCGAACAGGAUUAGAUACCCUGGUAGUCCAUGCAGUAAACGAUGAGUGCUAGAUGUUGGGAAUUUAAAUUUCCAGUAUCGCAGUUAACGCGUUAAGCACUCCGCCU